AUUGAACGCUGGCGGCAGGCCUAACACAUGCAAGUCGAGCGGAUGAAGGGAGCUUGCUCCUGGAUUCAGCGGCGGACGGGUGAGUAAUGCCUAGGAAUCUGCCUGGUAGUGGGGGAUAACGUCCGGAAACGGGCGCUAAUACCGCAUACGUCCUGAGGGAGAAAGUGGGGGAUCCUCGGACCUCACGCUAUCAGAUGAGCCUAGGUCGGAUCAGCUAGUUGGUGGGGUAAAGGCCUACCAAGGCGACGAUCCGUAACUGGUCUGAGAGGAUGAUCAGUCACACUGGAACUGAGACACGGUCCAGACUCCUACGGGAGGCAGCAGUGGGGAAUAUUGGACAAUGGGCGAAAGCCUGAUCCAGCCAUGCCGCGUGUGUGAAGAAGGUCUUCGGAUUGUAAAGCACUUUAAGUUGGGAGGAAGGGCAGUAAGUUAAUACCUUGCUGUUUUGACGUUACCAACAGAAUAAGCACCGGCUAACUUCGUG
rnacentral:rRNA from 1 species